UGCUAUACUGCAGUCGAACGCACAGCGAAAGGUGCUUGCACCUUUCAAGUGAGUGGCGAACGGGUGAGUAACACGUGGACAACCUGCCUCAAGGCUGGGGAUAACAUUUGGAAACAGAUGCUAAUACCGAAUAAAACUUAGUAUCGCAUGAUACCAGGUUAAAAGGCGCUACGGCGUCACCUAGAGAUGGAUCCGCGGUGCAUUAGUUAGUUGGUGGGGUAAAGGCCUACCAAGACAAUGAUGCAUAGCCGAGUUGAGAGACUGAUCGGCCACAUUGGGACUGAGACACGGCCCAAACUCCUACGGGAGGCUGCAGUAGGGAAUCUUCCACAAUGGGCGAAAGCCUGAUGGAGCAACGCCGCGUGUGUGAUGAAGGCUUUCGGGUCGUAAAGCACUGUUGUAUGGGAAGAAAAGUUAAGGUAGGGAAUGACCUUAGCCUGACGGUACCAUACCAGAAAGGGACGGCUAAAUACGUGCCAGCAGCCGCGGUAAUACGUAUGUCCCGAGCGUUAUCCGGAUUUAUUGGGCGUAAAGCGAGCGCAGACGGUUGGUUAAGUCUGAUGUGAAAGCCCGGAGCUCAACUCCGGAAAGGCAUUGGAAACUGGUUAACUUGAGUGCAGUAGAGGUAAGUGGAACUCCAUGUGUAGCGGUGGAAUGCGUAGAUAUAUGGAAGAACACCAGCGGCGAAGGCGGCUUACUGGACUGUAACUGACGUUGAGGCUCGAAAGUGUGGGUAGCAAACAGGAUUAGAUACCCUGGUAGUCCACACCGUAACGAUGAACACUAGGUGUUA
rnacentral:rRNA from 1 species